UAUGUUAAACCAUCCUGGCACUGCUGUGAUAAAUUCCACUUGAUCAAGGCUUUCAAGCUUUCAUUUUAAAAAUACAAAGUGCAUCACCCCAGUCCUGACGUGAGAGAGCAAAACUAACAUUGUUGCUAAAAAUCAAUGCUAAACCUGCCAAGUAUAAUUUUUUUGGUGUUUUAGUAUUGAGGCAUUUUUUCUUACAUGUCUCAUGAGUAUAUCUUUGUUUCAACCUAAAUGCCAUAAAAUAUUUUUCUUGUUAAAAAUAUUGUAAAGAGAUUUCUGUGACUGUAAAUAGCACCAUGGUUUUUUUGACCUCUAAAUAAAAA
rnacentral:lncRNA from 1 species